AUGCUAUUAUGUGGGCAAUUACGAACUAAACGCUUAAAUCUUGCCCAUGCAUUACUCAAGGUUUCAAAAUCAUUCUGUUCAAAGCUAAUAAUGUCUUGCUGCCU